rnacentral:ribozyme from 1 species
UUUUUUUUUUUUUUUUUUUUUUUUUUGUCUCACUU